CCUAAAACAGAAAUGUUUAAACCCCAUUUGGCUGCUCUGCUCCGAACACCACCGUCAGCUCCGCCUUAAAUCCUCCCUCUUCUCUCCCGAUGAAGCCUUCUCGCUGGAGCCCCCUAUUCAAUUUCUACUCUCGUUUACCGGGCGUUUCGCUCUACUCAACGACGGCCAAAUCGCCGCCGUCCACGUCUCACAGAACCCACUGGAAAGGCACACUCAACCGCCUCUACGGUCGGAUUUCGAAGAUCGCAGAUCCUAAGGCCCCCAUUCACCUGAUUCUCGACCAGUGGAUUCAACAAGGCCGACCCGUCGAUAAAGUCGGCCUCGUCUUUAUGAUUAAGGAGCUCAAACACUUUAAACGCUUCGACAACGCUCUUCAGGUAUCAAUGUGGAUGACUGACGAAAGGUACUUUGAACUUUCUCCGGCUGAUGCAGCGGUUCGGCUGGACUUGAUUGCAAAAGUUCAUGGAGUGGAACAAGCUGAGAGUUAUUUUGACAACAUUCCCAUACAAUUGAAAUCGCUUGGUGUUUACUUGGCUCUGCUCAACUGCUAUGCCCAUGCAAAGCUUGUUGAGAAAGCAGAGGCCACAAUGCAGAAGAUUAGGGAUUUGGGGCUCGCUAGGACGUCGUUGGCUUACAACAAUUUGCUCAAUUUGUAUUAUCAGACUGGAAAGCGUGAUAAGCUUGACGCGUUGGUGAAUGAAAUGGAGGAGAAGCGCAUCCAGUGUAACAAAUUCACAUACGGGAUCCUGCUCAGUGCAUAUGCUGCUGCUUCUGACUUUGAGGCAGUUGAGAAGAUUCUUGCACAAUGGGAAUCACAUCCUGAUUGUCGUUUGGAUUGGAUUAACUAUGCCGUUGUGGCAAAUGUUUAUAUAAAAGCAGGAAAUGAGGACAAGGCUUUGGCAAUGCUAAAGAAGUCUGAGGAGCUGAUACCAAGUUCUGAAAGACGGAGGGAAGCAUACGAGCACCUUGUGCCACAAUAUGCAGCACUAGGGAAGAAAGAUAAUGUUGUGAGACUAUGGGAACUUUACAAGGGUCAGAUGAAAGUAUACAAUAAGGGUUAUAGAAUCAUGAUAACCUCACUCUUGAAGAUUGGCGACAGUGAGAGUGCCGAGAAGAUCUUUGAAGAGUGGGAAUCUCAGCAGUCAGUUUAUGAUGUUCGUAUCCCAAAUCACUUGAUUGCUGCUUAUGCCAGAAAAGGUCUUCUUGACAAGGCUGAAGCUAUUAUUGAAAGGGUUAUACUGAAGGGUGCGAAACCUGAUGCAAAGUCAUGGUAUUCUUUGGCAAAAGUGCAUCUUGAUCAUGAUCAAACUGAGAAGGCAGUUGAGUUGACGAGAAAAGCACUUUUGGCUGUGCAGCCUGGUUGGAAGAUCAACAAGGAUGUUUGGGCUGCCUGUCUCAACUACUUGAUAAAGAAACCUGAUCCAGAGGGUGCCAAGGAAUAUAUAAAGCUACUCACUGAUAAGAAUGUUAUCACCGUGAUUACACAGGAGAGACUGUUGAAUAAGAUAAAUAAGGCGGAUUCAAACUCUGUAACACCAGGCGAAAUGGAAGGGGAUGGUCGAAAUGGAGAUGAAGAAGCAAGUGAAGUUUCAGAAGUGGAGGGGAGUCGUAGCUGCUAGCAUCCAAUAAUGAAAAUCUUGUCGGACACAUAUUCUAUUAAUUCCUGAAAUUUAGGUAGCAAAUGCAAGUAAAGUGGAGGUACUUGCAUAAAUGGUAACAGUUGAUGCCAAAUAACCUCAGUGAAGUUUAAUAGCCAUUGUAUUGAGAGGGAGAGAGAGUGAAUGGCAGAGUUGUGUGAGGAAGCAUGAAUGAUACUGUUAGAUGGAAAGCUUCCACGCCGAAGGCAAUGCUCACCAAAUUAGAAGCAAUAGGUUGAUCAUGCGGAGUGAACUACACAGUCAGCAAAACAAACACAAAUUAUUUAUGACUAUACCUUGCUGGUCCUACAAAAUCCUAUGUUCUCAACCAGCGCUAGUCCUUGGACGACAAAUGGCAUCUGGGCAGUCAACCUUGCGGGGGAAUCUCCUCCUGAGUAUAAGUAUGUGGCACUUGAUAACUGUCCAUCAACCCCUCCAUUUGACUAUCAGCUUAGUGACGCUGUUGUAAGUGUACUCUCUGAAGCUUGGCCAAAUCCCUAUCCGAAUAUCACUACAGCCAUGGAAAUUUGGAGACAUGAAUAUGAGAUACACGGUUCAUGUACCAUAAAUAUAUUGCCAACUUCCACUAGUUAUUUACUGCAAGCACUUUACUUGUGGGAGAAACUCAAGUUUCACGAUUUGAUGGGUGAGAAUGGCACUUAUAAGCCAAAUAUUCAAUAUCAAACCGAGGACGUGCUGAACGGCAUCAAACGUGUCUAUUAUGUCCAACCAAUAUUGAUAUGUUCUGGUAGUGAACUAGUGGAUGUUAGGUUUUGUUAUACAGGACAUUGGGUACUGAUAAAUU